rnacentral:rRNA from 1 species
GACGUAGGGUGCGAGCGUUGUCCGGAUUUAUUGGGCGUAAAGAGCUCGUAGGCGGCUCGUCGCGUCAGCUGUGAAAACCCGCGGCUUAACCGUGGGCUUGCAGCUGAUACGGGCGGGCUAGAGUUCGGUAGGGGAGACUGGAAUUCCUGGUGUAGCGGUGAAAUGCGCAGAUAUCAGGAGGAACACCGGUGGCGAAGGCGGGUCUCUGGGCCGAUACUGACGCUGAGGUGCGAAAGCGUGGGGAGCAAACAGG